rnacentral:rRNA from 1 species
UACGGAGGGUGCAAGCGUUAUCCGGAUUCACUGGGUUUAAAGGGUGCGUAGGCGGGUAAGUAAGUCCGUGGUGAAAUCUCUGAGCUUAACUCAGAAACUGCCGUGGAUACUAUUUGCCUUGAAUAUUGUGGAGGUGAGCGGAAUAUGUCAUGUAGCGGUGAAAUGCUUAGAUAUGACAUAGAACACCAAUUGCGUAGGCAGCUCACUAAACUGUAACUGACGCUGAGGCACGAAAGCAUGGGGAGCAAACAGG